GGUGAACGCUGGCGGCGUGCCUAAUACAUGCAAGUCGAGCGAAUGGAUUAAGAGCUUGCUCUUAUGAAGUUAGCGGCGGACGGGUGAGUAACACGUGGGUAACCUGCCCAUAAGACUGGGAUAACUCCGGGAAACCGGGGCUACUACCGGAUAACAUUUUGAACCGCAUGGUUCGAACUUGAAAGGCGGCUUCUGCUGUCCUUCAGGGAUGGACCCGCGUCGCAUUAGCUAGUUGGUGAGGUAACGGCUCACCAAGGCAACGAGGCGUAGCCGACCUGAGAGGGUGAUCGGCCACACUGGGACUGAGACACGGCCCAGACUCCUACGGGAGGCAGCAGUAGGGAAUCUUCCGCAAUGGACGAAAGUCUGACGGAGCAACGCCGCGUGAGUGAUGAAGGCUUUCGGGUCGUAAAACUCUGUUGUUAGGGAAGAACAAGUGCUAGUUGAAUAAGCUGGCACCUUGACGGUACCUAACCAGAAAGCCACGGCUAACUACGUGCCAGCCGCCGCAGUAA
rnacentral:rRNA from 1 species